AGUGUUGUAGCUCAGUGGUAGAGCACUUGCCUAGCAGUGUGAGGCUCUGGGUUCAAUCCUCAGCACCACAU
rnacentral:tRNA from 2 species